rnacentral:rRNA from 1 species
AUGAACGCUAGCGACAGGCUUAACACAUGCAAGUCGAGGGGCAGCGGGGGUAGCAAUACCCGCCGGCGACCGGCGCACGGGUGAGUAACGCGUAUGCAACUUACCUAUCAGAGGGGGAUAACCCGGCGAAAGUCGGACUAAUACCGCAUGAAGCAGGGGCCCCGCAUGGGGAUAUUUGCUAAAGAUUCAUCGCUGAUAGAUAGGCAUGCGUUCCAUUAGGCAGUUGGCGGGGUAACGGCCCACCAAACCGACGAUGGAUAGGGGUUCUGAGAGGAAGGUCCCCCACAUUGGUACUGAGACACGGACCAAACUCCUACGGGAGGCAGCAGUGAGGAAUAUUGGUCAAUGGGCGCGAGCCUGAACCAGCCAAGUCGCGUGAGGGAUGAAGGUUCUAUGGAUCGUAAACCUCUUUUAUAAGGGAAUAAAGUGCGGGACGUGUCCCGUUUUGUAUGUACCUUAUGAAUAAGGAUCGGCUAACUCCGUGCCAGCAGCCGCGGUAAUACGGAGGAUCCGAGCGUUAUCCGGAUUUAUUGGGUUUAAAGGGUGCGUAGGCGGCCUUUUAAGUCAGCGGUGAAAGUCUGUGGCUCAACCAUAGAAUUGCCGUUGAAACUGGGGGGCUUGAGUAUGUUUGAGGCAGGCGGAAUGCGUGGUGUAGCGGUGAAAUGCUUAGAUAUCACGCAGAACCCCGAUUGCGAAGGCAGCCUGCCAAGCCAUGACUGACGCUGAUGCACGAAAGCGUGGGGAUCAAACAGGAUUAGAUACCCUGGUAGUCCACGCAGUAAACGAUGAUCACUAGCUGUUUGCGAUACAGUGUAAGCGGCACAGCGAAAGCGUUAAGUGAUCCACCUGGGGAGUACGCCGGCAACGGUGAAACUCAAAGGAAUUGACGGGGGCCCGCACAAGCGGAGGAACAUGUGGUUUAAUUCGAUGAUACGCGAGGAACCUUACCCGGGUUUGAACGCAUUCGGACCGAGGUGGAAACACCUUUUCUAGCAAUAGCCGUUUGCGAGGUGCUGCAUGGUUGUCGUCAGCUCGUGCCGUGAGGUGUCGGCUUAAGUGCCAUAACGAGCGCAACCCUUGCCACUAGUUACUAACAGGUAAAGCUGAGGACUCUGGUGGGACUGCCAGCGUAAGCUGCGAGGAAGGCGGGGAUGACGUCAAAUCAGCACGGCCCUUACAUCCGGGGCGACACACGUGUUACAAUGGCGUGGACAAAGGGAAGCCACCUGGCGACAGGGAGCGAAUCCCCAAACCACGUCUCAGUUCGGAUCGGAGUCUGCAACCCGACUCCGUGAAGCUGGAUUCGCUAGUAAUCGCGCAUCAGCCAUGGCGCGGUGAAUACGUUCCCGGGCCUUGUACACACCGCCCGUCAAGCCAUGGGAGCCGGGGGUACCUGAAGUCCGUAACCGAAAGGAUCGGCCUAGGGUAAAACUGGUGACUGGGGCU